rnacentral:rRNA from 1 species
CGGCGUGGGAUAGGCAUGCAAGUCGAGCGCUGCCUUGGGCAGGGAGCGGCGAACGGGUUAGUAACGCGUAGGUAUCUACCUUGAAGUCUGGAAUAACUCGGAGAAAUCCGGGCUAAUACCAGAUAGUCCCGCAAGGGUAAAGUGUCACUUCGGUGAUUUCGCUUCAAGAGGAGCCUGCGUCCUAUCAGCUUGUUGGUGAGGUAAUGGCUCACCAAGGCAAUGACAAGUAGGCGGUGUGAGAGCAUGACCGCCAACAAUGGAACUGCGACACGGUCCAUACACCUACGGGUGGCAGCAGUCGAGAAUCUUCCGCAAUGGGCGAAAGCCUGACGGAGCGACGCCGCGUGAGUGAAGAAGCCCUUCGGGGUGUAAAGCUCUUUUCUGGAGGAAAAAUUUUUACUUUUGUAAUUGUGAUGGUACUCCAGGAAUAAGGGGCCGCUAAACUCGUGCCAGCAGCGGCGGUAAUACGAGUGCCCCAAGCGUUAUCCGGAAUUAUUGGGCGUAAAGCGUGGGUAGGCGGUCUUGAUAGUGGUUGGUUAAAUGCCGAGGCUUAACCUCGGUCCGGCCAAUCAAACGUCAGGACUAGAGCAGGUGAGAGGCUGAUGGAACUUACCAAGUAGAGGUGAAAUCCGUUGAUAUGGUAGGGAACACCAAAGGCGAAGGCAUUCAGCUGGUGCCUGGCUGACGCUGAGCCACGAAAGCGUGGGUAGCGAAUGAGAUUAGAUACCUCAUGUCCCGCCCUAAACGAUGCCAACUAGCCGUUGGGAGACGACCCUCUCAGUGGCGAAGCUAACGCUUAAGUUGCCGCCUGGGAAGUACGCCGCAAGGCUAAAAUCUCAAAUACAUGUGAGACG